rnacentral:rRNA from 1 species
UAGGGAAUUUUCGGCAAUGGGGGCAACCCUGACCGAGCAACGCCGCGUGAGUGAAGAAGGUUUUCGGAUCGUAAAGCUCUGUUGUAAGAGAAGAACGUGUGUGAGAGUGGAAAGUUCACACAGUGACGGUAACUUACCAGAAAGGGACGGCUAACUACGUGCCAGCAGCCGCGGUAAUACGUAGGUCCCGAGCGUUGUCCGGAUUUAUUUGGCGUAAAGCGAGCGCAGGCGGUUUAAUAAGUCUGAAGUUAAAGGCAGUGGCUUAACCAUUGUUCGCUUUGGAAACUGUUAAACUUGAGUGCAGAAGGGGAGAGUGGAAUUCCAUGUGUAGCGGUGAAAUGCGUAGAUAUAUGGAGGAACACCGGUGGCGAAAGCGGCUCUCUGGUCUGUAACUGACGCUGAGGCUCGAAAGCGUGGGGAGCAAACAGG